rnacentral:lncRNA from 1 species
CACAUCUUACAAAAGCAACUGUGACUCACUAGACUCGAGGAAGCCAUCAUACCAGUCAGCAACUUGGAGUUCGUUGCUACCGUGGACCUUGCCGCCGCUAUGGACAACAAAUCAGGCUUAAGCAAGACGAUGCUACUGCUUGCAGCUCCAUUACCUCUCAGUGAAGCCGUUGGCCUUGCCUCCACCGCUAUGAGCCACCGCUGCUCACCAGUCACUAGUCACCACCACCAUCAACCUUGCCGCUGCCUGGGAGAGACUAAAAGAGAUGGAUGAUGCGGGAGUAUAGGUUAACGGCCUAGGAAUUACAACUUGUUACCAAAAUGCCCCUGAGUAGGCCAACAUACACAGAUCUUAAACGCUAAUCUAAUGGCCAUAAAAAUCGACUGGAGGAUAAAAAAUUUUCAGGCGCACAUGUACUUGAAAGUUGCCUUUGCUAUUGAUCAAGCGCCUGAAAAUUUUCGAUCCUUCAAUUGAUUUUUAUGCCGUUAGAUUGGUGUUUAAGAUCUAUGCAUAUUGACCUAAGGGGCAUUUUGGUAACAUACCAUAUUUCCUAGGCCGUUAAUCUAUACACCCGCAUCAUCCAUCUCUUUCGGUCUCUCACAUGUAGCGGCAAGGUCGAUGGGGGUGGUGAUUGGUGAGCAGUGGUGGCUCAUAGUGUUGGAGGCAAGGGCAGAGGCUUCAGCAAAAGGUGAUGGAGUUGUAAGCAGUAUCAUUGUCUUGCUUGAGCCUGGUUUGUCAUCCAUAGCAUUGGCAAGGUCCACGGCAGCAGCGAACUCCAAGUUGGUGGUGUGUGAUGACUUCCUCAAGUCUAGCGAGCCAUAAUUUAUUUUGUAAGAUGGGAGUGUGAUCCCCGGUGGGAGUG